ACCCUCCUUUUCCUGGGGUUGUGCUACUGUCCUGUGAGCACAUAGUGAGGGCAGUACUGCUAAUGCCUGCGCAGCACACCCACAUCAACUCGAGCUUUGCUUUACCUUGGUACAAUUUUUGGAAAA
rnacentral:ncRNA from 1 species